AGUGAACGCUGGCGGUAGGCCUAACACAUGCAAGUCGAACGGCAGCACAGUAAGAGCUUGCUCUUACGGGUGGCGAGUGGCGGACGGGUGAGGAAUACAUCGGAAUCUACUUUUUCGUGGGGGAUAACGUAGGGAAACUUACGCUAAUACCGCAUACGACCUACGGGUGAAAGCAGGGGAUCUUCGCACCUUGCGCGAUUGAAUGAGCCGAUGUCGGAUUAGCUAGUUGGCGGGGUAAAGGCCCACCAAGGCGACGAUCCGUAGCUGGUCUGAGAGGAUGAUCAGCGACACUGGGACUGAGCCACGGUCCAGACUCCUACGGGAGGCAGAGGUGGGUAAUAUUGGACAAUGGGGGCAAGCCUGAUCCAGCCAUACCGCGUGGGUGAAGAAGGCCUUCGGGUUGCAAAGCCCUUUUGUUGGGAAAGAAAAGCAGCAGGUUAAUACCCCGCUGUUCUGACGGUACCCAAAGAAUAAGCACCGGCUAACUUCGUG
rnacentral:rRNA from 1 species